rnacentral:rRNA from 1 species
UACGUAGGGAGCAAGCGUUGUCCGGAUUUAUUGGGCGUAAAGAGCUCGUAGGUGGUUUGGAAAGUCGAAUGUGAAAUCUCUGGGCUUAACUCAGAGAGGCCAUCCGAUACUUCCAUGACUUGAGUCUUGCAGGGGAGUGUGGAAUUUCUGGUGUAGCGGUGAAAUGCGCAGAUAUCAGAAGGAACACCCGUGGCGAAGGCGGCACUCUGGGCAAGUACUGACACUGAGGAGCGAAAGCGUGGGUAGCAAACAGG